UCCUCAAGGUGCUGUGGUGCUUCCUGAUC
rnacentral:piRNA from 1 species